GACGAACGCUGGCGGCGUGCUUAACACAUGCAAGUCGAGCGGAGCGGCGAACGGGUGAGUAACGCGUGAGUACCUGCCCCCCUCUCUGGGAUAACCGUUGGAAACGGCUGCUAAUACCGGUUAGUGGGGGAUGCCUCGCGUCCUAUCAGCUUGUGGGUGGGGUAGGGGCCUACCAAGGCGACGCCGGGUAGCCGGCCUGAGAGGGCGACAGGCCACAUUGGGCUGAGAUACGGCCCAAACUCCUACGGGAGGCAGCAGUGGGGAAUAUUGCACAAUGGGGGAAACCCUGAUGUAGCAACGCCGCGUGCGGGAUGACGGCCUUCGGGUUGUAAACCGCUUUCAGCCAUGACGCGGUAGUGGCAGAAGAAGCACCGGCUAACUACGUGCCAGCCGCCGUGGUAAUAC
rnacentral:rRNA from 1 species